rnacentral:rRNA from 1 species
GACGAACCGUGCGAACGUUGUUCGGAAUCACUGGGCUUAAAGGGCGCGUAGGCGGCCCACCGAGUCCGGGGUGAAAUCCUCCCGCCCAACGGGAGAAGUGCCUUGGAUACUGGUGGGCUCGAGCGGGGUAGGGGCAUGUGGAACUUCCGGUGGAGCGGUGAAAUGCGUAGAUAUCGGAAGGAACGCCGGUGGCGAAAGCGCUCUGCUAGGCCGCAACUGACACUGAGGGACGAAAGCUAGGGGAGCGAAUGGG